rnacentral:rRNA from 1 species
AUUGAACGCUGGCGGCAGGCCUAACACAUGCAAGUCGAGCGGAUGAUGGGAGCUUGCUCCUGGAUUCAGCGGCGGACGGGUGAGUAAUGCCUAGGAAUCUGCCUGGUAGUGGGGGACAACGUCUCGAAAGGAACGCUAAUACCGCAUACGUCCUACGGGAGAAAGCAGGGGACCUUCGGGCCUUGCGCUAUCAGAUGAGCCUAGGUCGGAUUAGCUUGUUGGUGAGGUAAUGGCUCACCAAGGCGACGAACCGUAACUGGUCUGAGAGGAUGAUCAGUCACACUGGAACUGAGACACGGUCCAGACUCCUACGGGAGGCAGCAGUGGGGAAUAUUGGACAAUGGGCGAAAGCCUGAUCCAGCCAUGCCGCGUGUGUGAAGAAGGUCUUCGGAUUGUAAAGCACUUUAAGUUGGGAGGAAGGGCAGUAAGUUAAUACCUUGCUGUUUUGACGUUACCGACAGAAUAAGCACCGGCUAACUUCGUGCCAGCCGCCGCAGUAACAC